rnacentral:tRNA from 1 species
GGGCAUGUGGUUCAGCGGUAUAAUAUUUGCUUAGCAUGCGAAACGUCCGGCGUUUGGUUCUCUGCUUGUCCA